AUGUCUAUGCUAUUAGUUUUUCUUCUUCUACUUUACAGGUACAAUAAUAUUAUGAUCAUAACCUGCGCGCCUAUUCCAAUAUUUCCAACGGGAUUAUCUCCGUCGUUUCGUACCGAUCCCGACCAGCAAACACUGCGGUUUUGUAAGGGUUUCAAAUAUUAAAUCGCGGUAUCAAUUAGAACAAUUGUCUCGAAUCUCUAUUGCCACGCUUGAUCUUCUUUCACUUGUAUUUAUACAUGCAUAUAGCUGUGAAUGUCAUUGCAUCGGACUGAGCAAUAAUUCGUUAAUCGAUAAUAUUUUCUUUUUAAGCACCCAUGCUGCGAUUAUAAUUUUACAUACGCGGAUAUUUGUUGCUGCCGGAUGAGGAAACGUUUGAUGUCU